GGUGAACGCUGGCGGCGUGCCUAAUACAUGCAAGUCGAGCGAACAGACGAGGAGCUUGCUCCUCUGACGUUAGCGGCGGACGGGUGAGUAACACGUGGAUAACCUACCUAUAAGACUGGGAUAACUUCGGGAAACCGGAGCUAAUACCGGAUAAUAUAUUGAACCGCAUGGUUCAAUAGUGAAAGACGGUUUUGCUGUCACUUAUAGAUGGAUCCGCGCCGCAUUAGCUAGUUGGUAAGGUAACGGCUUACCAAGGCAACGAUGCGUAGCCGACCUGAGAGGGUGAUCGGCCACACUGGAACUGAGACACGGUCCAGACUCCUACGGGAGGCAGCAGUAGGGAAUCUUCCGCAAAGGGCGAAAGCCUGACGGAGCAACGCCGCGUGAGUGAUGAAGGUCUUCGGAUCGUAAAACUCUGUUAUUAGGGAAGAACAAAUGUGUAAGUAACUAUGCACGUCUUGACGGUACCUAAUCAGAAAGCCACGGCUAACUACGUG
rnacentral:rRNA from 1 species